AAGCAGAAAGUUUACCAAGUCACAUGACCAGGGGUGGGAUAUACAUGCAGACACACAUAGGUAAGAAGACUACUGCCGGAGAAUAAUCACUCAUUAACAACACACAAUAUGCAAAAUAAACUCCCCUUUUGCAUAUUUUGGUACGGGUGAGGUAACUGCUCCAGAAAGCUACCUUUUCAUUGGCUGCUCCAGAUAGCUACCUUUUCAUUGGCAAGAUUAGUAAACUUAGGCAUGACAUGCCAACAACAAAAUUCUGACCUACAUGCAUAACUGACCAAAUUAUUAAAGACAAUAAUUGUAAUUUUGAAUUCCAUAAAGUGAGCAUGGAAGAGGUGAAAAACAACAAUGGAAAGCCAUCUGGGUCUGACAACUUCGAUGGAAAAUUACUGAGGAUGAUAACGGACUAUAUUACCACCUCUCAUCUACGCCUACAGACCUUGAAGGAAGUAAGUCAUUCCACUACCCAAGGAUAGCAAAUCACCCUUUACUGGCUCAAACAGCUGACGAAUCAGCACGUUACCAACCCUUACUAAACUUUUGGGAAAAAAUGGUGUUGGACCAGAUUCAAUGCUAUUUCACAAUAAACAAAUUAACAAUAUUUUCAGCAUGCUUAUAGGGAAGAGCACUUAACAUGUAUGGCACUUACACAAAAGACUGAUGAUUGGCUGAAGGAAAUUGAUAAGUGGAUUGUGCGAGCUGUUUAGUUUGAUUUCAGUGAAGCUUUUGACAUGGAUCAUAAUCUGCUGCUGGAAAAAUGUGUAUUAUGGCUUUACAUCUGCUGCUAUAUCUUGUUACCCAUCUAACAGAACAGACGGUGUUCUUUAAUGGAAGCCUCUCCAACAUAAUCUAGGUAGAGUCAGGCAUUCCCCAGGGCACAUCCUUUAUAUCCACGCAAACUUGGUGCAAAUCAAUGCCCACGAGAAACCUGGCAACAUUCAAAGCCACACAUAGUUUGGUUGUUCCCUUGUGAGAAGUAAAGGCACGCACAAGAAUGCAAGAGAGAAUCCCCACAAAAAAAAAAAAAACAUUGCCAUCAAUACCUUGCAUUUUCCCAAAUAAAACAGAUAUAUAAUAAAGGGGGUCAAUGUAAAUAGUAUGUGUAGCCAUUUCAUUAACUGUUCAAUAAGAUGGUCCGAAAUAUAAAAUUAAAAAACUAAAAGCAUUGUAUUUGGGACAAAUCAUUCACUAAACCUCAACUACGUUUUGUAAUGAAUAAUGUGGAAAUUCAGCAAGUUGAAGGAGACUAAACGGCUUGGUGCAACCCUGGAUUGUAAAACUGUCCUGGUCAAAACAUAUUGAUGCAACAGUAGCUAAAAUGGGGAGAAGUCUGUCCAUAAUAAAGUGCUUCUCUGCUUUCUUGACAUCACUAUCAACCAAAGUCCUACAUACCCUAGUUGUUGCACCUGGACUACUGCCCAGUCACAUGAUCAAGUGCCACUAAGACGGACAUAGGCAAAUUACAGUUGGCCAGAACAGAGCAGCAAAGAACUCUAUUUCAUAUCAAGUAACUCAUGAAUAAAAAAAUAAAAGCUAAUAAAAAAAUGCAAGCAAUAAAAUCUGAUUUUUUUUUUUAAACUACACAGUGCAGACUGUGAAGACACACUCGUACAUUGUAAUAUUGCUGUAUUAUGGAUUUGGUACUUUAGAUAUGUUGUGGUAUUGUACUGUGUAAUAAAUAACGUGUUGUGUGAUCUGUUUUAUUUUGUAUGUAAUUGCCUAAUGGGGAUCCGUAAUAAAAUACACAUAAAAAAGAAGUUAAACCGUACCUUCGGGCACGAUACAGGUAAGGUACAGAAAGAUACAGGUAAGGUACGGAAAGAUACAGGUAAGGUACGGAAAGAUACAGGUAAGGUACGGAAAGAUACAGGUAAGGUACAGGUAAGGUGCGGAAAGAUACAGGUAAGGUACGAAAAGAUACAGGUAAGGUACAGGUAAGGUGCGGAAAGAUACAGGUAAGGUACGGAAAGAUACAGGUAAGGUACGGAAAGAUACAGGUAAGGUACGGAAAGAUACAGGUAAGGUACGGAAAGAUACAGGUAAGGUACGGAAAGAUACAGGUAAGGUACGGAAAGAUACAGGUAAGGUACGGAAAGAUACAGGUAAGGUACGGAAAGAUACAGGUAAGGUACAGGUAAGGUGCGGAAAGAUACAGGUAAGGUACAGGUAAGGUACGGAAAGAUACAAGUAUGGUACAGAAAGGUACAGGUGGGGUACAGGUAAGGUACGGAAAGGUACAGGUGGGGUACAGGUAAGGUACGGAAAGGUACAGGUGGGGUGAAGGUAAGUUACAGAAAGAUACAGGUAAGGUACAGGUAAGGUACGGAAAGAUACAGGUAUGGUACAGGUAAGGUACGGAAAGAUACAGGUAAGGUACAGGUAAGGUACGGAAAGAUACAGGUACGGUACAGGUAAGGUACGGAAAGAUACAGGUAUGGUACAGGUGGGGUACAGGUAAGGUACGGAAAGGUACAGGUGGGGUGAAGGUAAGGUAACGUAAGAUACAUGUAAGUGGUUGUGAUGAUUCAAUGUUUUUAAAGUAUUUAACUGUAUAAAGCUAAAAGGUUCAUUUUCACACUAUGGCCAAAGUUUUUCUUUCCUAACAGGCUGUGGCUACCGUCUGUCACUCAUUAGGGGUAACCUAGUCAGUUGCACAACUGAAAGCAUUCAACUGAAAUGUGUCUUCAGCAUUUAACCCAACCCCUCAAACAGAGAGGGAACAGUUUGUUGGGGGUUAAUUGCCUUACCGUGCUCCAC